rnacentral:rRNA from 1 species
CUAUGCGCCUUGCCAGCCCGCUCAGGUGUGCCAGCCGCCGCGGUAAUACGUAGGGGGCAAGCGUUAUCCGGAUUUACUGGGUGUAAAGGGCGUGUAGCCGGGCCGGCAAGUCAGAUGUGAAAUCCCAAGGCUCAGCCUUGGAACUGCAUUUGAAACUGUUGGUCUUGAGUAUCGGAGAGGCAGGCGGAAUUCCUAGUGUAGCGGUGAAAUGCGUAGAUAUUAGGAGGAACACCAGUGGCGAAGGCGGCCUGCUGGACGACAACUGACGGUGAGGCGCGAAGGCGUGGGGAGCAAACAGG